rnacentral:miRNA from 1 species
CCGUCGUCUGUUCGGAUGAGU